rnacentral:rRNA from 1 species
AUACGGAGGGUGCAAGCGUUACUCGGAAUCACUGGGGGUAAAGCGCGCGCAGGCGGUCUUUUAAGUUGGAUGUGAAAGCCUACGGCUCAACCGUAGAACUGCAUCCAAAACUAUUAGACUAGAGUGUGGGAGAGGAAGAUGGAAUUAGUUGUGUAGGGGUAAAAUCCGUAGAGAUAACUAGGAAUACCAAAAGCGAAGGCAAUCUUCUGGAACACUACUGACGCUGAGGCGCGAAAGCGUGGGGAGCAAACAGGAUUAGAUACCCUAGUAGUCC